AGUGACGGCAGUGAGCGCGCCCUUAAAUAGCCGUGGGCGGGCAGUUGGCGCUCUCUCGGCCUUAGCGCCAUCUUCUUAGGAACUUCUGCGCCAUGAGAGCCAAGUGGAGGAAGAAGCGAAUGCGCAGGCUGAAGCGCAAAAGAAGAAAGAUGAGGCAGAGGUCCAAGUAAACCGCUAGCUUGUGCACCCGUGGAAGCCACAGAAGCAGAAAUAAGGGAAGCCAGAGGCCAGAGACACUGGUACAAACUGUUGGACUGCAUGCCUGCUGUCUAGAACUUCUCGAUGGAUCUAGAACAUACAUGCCAUCUGAUCUCCGCGACCGCCUUUUGAGACAUCCACCCUGCUCUUACAAAAGCAGUCCCUUUUGGUCCUUUGCUCUGGACCUGUGACAUUCUGGACUGGUUCUGUUGUCCUUUGUGGCUGAUUUAACGUGUACAAUAAAUCUCUGUCUCAGAUGAAGAAAAAA